UUUGAACAUUAAAUAUCUUGUCUUUGUGGUGUAUUCAAUUGAAUAUAGGUUGAAGAGGAUUUACAAAAUCACUGUAUUUUGUUUUUAUUUACCUUUUACACAACGUCCCAACUUGAUUGAACUGGGGUUGCAGAACAAUACCAUGUCUCUUGGAGACACCUGUUUUGCAACAUUUU